rnacentral:rRNA from 1 species
GACGAACGCUGGCGGCGUGCCUAAUACAUGCAAGUAGAACGCUGAAGGAGGAGCUUGCUCUUCUGGAUGAGUUGCGAACGGGUGAGUAACGCGUAGGUAACCUGCCUGGUAGCGGGGGAUAACUAUUGGAAACGAUAGCUAAUACCGCAUAAGAGUAGAUGUUGCAUGACAUUUACUUAAAAGGUGCAAUUGCAUCACUACCAGAUGGACCUGCGUUGUAUUAGCUAGUUGGUGGGGUAACGGCUUACCAAGGCGACGAUACAUAGCCGACCUGAGAGGGUGAUCGGCCACACUGGGACUGAGACACGGCCCAGACUCCUACGGGAGGCAGCAGUAGGGAAUCUUCGGCAAUGGACGGAAGUCUGACCGAGCAACGCCGCGUGAGUGAAGAAGGUUUUCGGAUCGUAUAGCUCUGUUGUAAGAGAAGAACGAGUGUGAGAGUGGAAAGUUCACACUGUGACGGUAUCUUACCAGAAAGGGACGGCUAACUACGUG